rnacentral:rRNA from 1 species
UUUGCAUCUCAUCCUGUUGGCCAAAAUAUGACAGUCGAGCGAAUGGAUUAAGAGCUUGCUCUUAUGAAGUUAGCGGCGGACGGGUGAGUAACACGUGGGUAACCUGCCCAUAAGACUGGGAUAACUCCGGGAAACCGGGGCUAAUACCGGAUAACAUUUUGAACCGCAUGGUUCGAAAUUGAAAGGCGGCUUCGGCUGUCACUUAUGGAUGGACCCGCGUCGCAUUAGCUAGUUGGUGAGGUAACGGCUCACCAAGGCAACGAUGCGUAGCCGACCUGAGAGGGUGAUCGGCCACACUGGGACUGAGACACGGCCCAGACUCCUACGGGAGGCAGCAGUAGGGAAUCUUCCGCAAUGGACGAAAGUCUGACGGAGCAACGCCGCGUGAGUGAUGAAGGCUUUCGGGUCGUAAAACUCUGUUGUUAGGGAAGAACAAGUGCUAGUUGAAUAAGCUGGCACCUUGACGGUACCUAACCAGAAAGCCACGGCUAACUACGUGCCAGCAGCCGCGGUAAUACGUAGGUGGCAAGCGUUAUCCGGAAUUAUUGGGCGUAAAGCGCGCGCAGGUGGUUUCUUAAGUCUGAUGUGAAAGCCCACGGCUCAACCGUGGAGGGUCAUUGGAAAC